AUGGGAAUCGUCUGUGGAUCUUGUUAAAAUACAGAUCUUUGUUCAGUAGUUCUAUAUAGGGUUCUAGAUUCUGCAUCUUUAGUAAACUCCCAAGUGAUGUAGAA
rnacentral:miRNA from 1 species